rnacentral:rRNA from 1 species
CUUGGUCAUUUAGAGGAAGUAAAAGUCGUAACAAGGUUUCCGUAGGUGAACCUGCGGAAGGAUCAUUAGUGAAUAUUAGGGCGUCUACUUGUAGAGCCUGACCUCCACUUUCUAACUCUGUGCACUUAUUUGGCGGAAAAAGGGAAUAGUGAUUGUCUAACGACGAUUAUGAAUGCCUUAUUUCUGCGGCUUACUUUAAACACUAGUCAAAGUAUGUAACGAAAUAUCGAAAUAUAAAAAAAACUUUCAACAACGGAUCUCUUGGCUCUCGCAUCGAUGAAGAACGCAGCGAAAUGUGAUAAGUAAUGUGAAUUGCAGAAUUCAGUGAAUCAUCGAAUCUUUGAACGCACCUUGCGCUCCCUAGUAUUCUGGGGAGCAUGUCUGUUUGAGUGUCAUGAACUCUUCAACCCACCAGUUUCUUGUAGACUGGCUGGUGUUUGGAUUUUGAACGUUGCUGGUCUUCGGACGUAGCUCGUUCGUAAUACAUUAGCAUCUCUAAUUCGAAUUCGGAUUGACUCAGUGUAAUAGACUAUUCGCUGAGGACACUUUUAUUAGUGGCCGAACAAGAUAAUUGUAGAAGCUUCAAACCUCUACAGUCAAUUUUAGAUUAGACCUCAAAUCAGGCAGGAUUACCCGCUGAACUUAAGCAUAUCAAUAAGCGGAGGA